GAGAAACGGCGGAGAUAAAGCUCUCUGAAGUUGACCAUUUUGUAUGGGAAAACGGUUUUGGUGCAUUUUAUAUUUCCGAUACUGUAUCAGCCCUUAACCUUCCCACAUGAACGUAGGCGUAGCAGAAGUGGUAGCCAUUACAAUAUGUAGUAAUGAUAUGAAGUAGAAAUAAAAUAAUGGUUUAUGCAUUAUUUAGGAUCAUCAAGCCAAGACGAAUUCGAAGUCGUGCGCGCGAUAUGAUGACGAUUCAUCCGAUCGUCUCGAAACGACACCGAAGUUGAUGAUGACGAUGACGACGUUCGUUCGCACGGACGAAGAGAAAACGAACAUGCACGAUCAAAGGAACUAGCACUGACUCUCGAACGACUUCAGUUUGGAGAUUAUUGUAGUGGAAAGCAGUCGCAGUUGUGUGGUGAAGUGAAAAAAAAAAAGUGACGAAAAGUAAAAAAAAAUAAGUGAUGACUAAAAUAAAAUAAAAGAAAGAAUAUGUGUUGCAAAAGGUGUUGUAUUGGUUUCGGCCUAUUUUGAGAAAACUCCUACACAAUAGUAAACCAAUCGGAUUACAAAGUAGUUCAAAAACAAAGUUUAAUGUCGUAUUGAAAAUUCUAAAGUAUUAUCACAUAUUGGGUCAAAGAUUCUUCACAAUGGAAACAAAACUCUUUUUUGACCUUUGGACUCGGUUGUCUGGAUUGUCGGAAUUCUGUGAGAUGUGACAAUCAGUCUUCUUCCGGCAGUUGAAUUUUGCGAAAUUCAUCUACUUUUGACCUACUGCAGCAAUAGUGGCAAUGAUUUCUGCGCUUCGACAUUAUUCUUAAAGUUGUCAUUCUCAUAAAGCAUAAGCAUAAGCAUUGAUCACCGUACAAUUCGUAGUUGCUACUCCGUGAUUGACCAGAAUAAUCGAAGUUGCACAAGGAAUUAAGAGAUGUAGCUUGGGAGUAGCUUCCCAUCUGCAAUGUACACUUUCGGGAACUCUAAAC